rnacentral:rRNA from 1 species
AUUCCAGCUCCAAUAGCGUAUAUUAAAGUUGUUGCAGUUAAAAAGCUCGUAGUUGGAUUUGUGGUUGGGUCCGUCGGACCGGCACAUUGUGCGGGUACUUGAUGGACUCGUCCAUCCUUGGGUGGAAUCUGUGUGGCAUUAAGUUGUCGUGCAGGGGAUGCCCAUCGUUUACUGUGAAAAAAUUAGAGUGUUCAAAGCAGGCUUAUGCCGUUGAAUAUAUUAGCAUGGAAUAAUGAGAUAGGACCUUGGUACUAUUUUGUUGGUUUGCGCACCGAGGUAAUGAUUAAUAGGGACAGUUGGGGGUAUUCGUAUUCCAUUGUCAGAGGUGAAAUUCUUGGAUUUUUGGAAGACGAACUACUGCGAAAGCAUUUACCAAGGAUGUUUUCAUUA